GGGUCAGUAGGUUGGUCGUGCCACCGGUACGCACUGGUCUCACUGAUUCCUCCUUCCUGAAGAACCGUAAUGCCAUUAAUUUGGUGUUGCGGGAAACAGGACUGUUACUUUGAAAAAAUUAGAGUGUUUAAAGCAAGCUAACGCUUGAAUACAUUAGCAUGGAAUAAUGAAAUAGGACGAUCGAUCCUAUUUUGUUGGUUUCUAGGAUUGACGUA
rnacentral:rRNA from 1 species